UACGGGGGGGGCAAGCGUUGUUCGGAAUUACUGGGCGUAAAGGGCUCGUAGGCGGCCAACUAAGUCAGACGUGAAAUCCCUCGGCUUAACCGGGGAACUGCAUCUGAUACUGGAUGGCUUGAGAUUGGGAGAGGGAUGCGGAAUUCCAGGUGUAGCGGUGAAAUGCGUAGAUAUCUGGAGGAACACCGGUGGCGAAGGCGGCAUCCUGGACCAACACUGACGCUGAGGCACGAAGGCCAGGGGAGCAAACGGG
rnacentral:rRNA from 1 species